rnacentral:rRNA from 1 species
GACGAACGCUGGCGGCGUGCUUAACACAUGCAAGUCGAACGGAAAGGCCCUGCUUUUGUGGGGUGCUCGAGUGGCGAACGGGUGAGUAACACGUGAGUAACCUGCCCUUGACUUUGGGAUAACUUCAGGAAACUGGGGCUAAUACCGGAUAGGAGCUCCUGCUGCAUGGUGGGGGUUGGAAAGUUUCGGCGGUUGGGGAUGGACUCGCGGCUUAUCAGCUUGUUGGUGGGGUAGUGGCCUACCAAGGGUUUGACGGGUAGCCGGCCUGAGAGGGUGACCGGCCACAUUGGGACUGAGAUACGGCCCAGGCUCCUACGGGAGGCAGCAGUGGGGAGUAUUGCGCAAUGGGCGGAAGCCUUAUGCAGCAACGCCGCGUGCGGGAUGACGGCCUUCGGGUUGUAAACCGCUUUCGCCUGUGACGAAGCGUGAGUGACGGUAAUGGGUAAAGAAGCACCGGCUAACUACGUG